GGGGAAUAUUGGACAAUGGGCGAAAGCCUGAUCCAGCCAUGCCGCGUGUGUGAAGAAGGUCUUCGGAUUGUAAAGCACUUUAAGUUGGGAGGAAGGGUAGUAACCUAAUACGUUGCUACUUUGACGUUACCGACAGAAUAAGCACCGGCUAACUUCGUGCCAGCAGCCGCGGUAAUACGAAGGGUGCAAGCGUUAAUCGGAAUUACUGGGCGUAAAGCGCGCGUAGGUGGUUCAGUAAGUUGGAAGUGAAAUCCCCGGGCUCAACCUGGGAACUGCUUUCAAAACUGCUGAGCUAGAGUACGGUAGAGGGUGGUGGAAUUUCCUGUGUAGCGGUGAAAUGCGUAGAUAUAGGAAGGAACACCAGUGGCGAAGGCGACCACCUGGACUGAUACUGACACUGAGGUGCGAAAGCGUGGGGAGCAAAC
rnacentral:rRNA from 1 species